UCAUUCUCCCCAAUUCAAAGAAAGAAAACCCUAGCUAGCCUCCACAGUCGCCGAACGGAGUGAGUGACCAUUGCCGCCGUCCGUGGUUGUCCGAGGCUUCUCUCUUCGUCUUGUCCUCAAUCCCCUGUUCACACUUUGGUCUUUUCUUCCUCCCUCGGCAUCCAUCCUCCAUCGUCUUCGUCCUGCGCGCCGUCCUCCCGUCGCCGUUUCAUUUUUAACAAAAAGAAAAAAAACAAAGCUUCGGUAGCGCUGAGAUCCCCUUGCCCCCUUCUCUCCUUCUUCACUCUCCAGAACUCAACUCAACCUCAAGUCCUCUCAACCAAAGAAAAAGUUUAAAACCCUAGCCUCAGCUACUGUUCGUUUGUCCGUCGAGCCACUGCCUCCGUCUGUUCGUCAAGCCCCGGAGCCCAGAUCCCCAAACUUCAAAGAUGCUUACCUGGGUAUCCCUUCAAGUGUCCGAAGCUACAGAUUACUCCUGAGAAUGGCUUAUCCGAGAGUGAUACUGAUAAACUAUUGUCACUCCUCCAUGAUCAGGUAGUGUUGUAGUAAUAUUUAUGGCUAGGAUGAAGUAUUGGUUAGCAAUAGAAUGCUUUGAUGUUUUUGGUUCCUUGGUGUCCAAGUUGGUAGAAAGGGAGCCACAUGGUGGAAGAAGUAUCAAGUAUGUAUUAUUGAAUUAAAAGAUUUUUAAAAGCAUGAUUUGUACAUUAUCUAAAGAAAAUUGAGGUAGGAUUCAAUAUUGAGGUAGUUGAGACCUGAAUGGCAAGAACAAGUUACUAAACCAAGCAUAUUUCUAUGUGAUCUUAUUUUGAAUUCUUCAUGUGUUCCUCUUUUAAUUCUUUGAAUGUAACUACUGGUCUUUUUUGGUACCCAAGAGUUUACUAGACACAUUUCAGGAGUUUACUAGACAUAGUUCAGUUUAAUUCUUUCCUCACUUCAUUUCAUGUAAUCA